rnacentral:lncRNA from 1 species
AACAUUAAACUUCAAAUCAAAAGAUUUCUAGGUUUGGGGUUUUAUACAUUUAGAGCUUUGAUUCUUGAUUUCUGACUUCUGAUUGUUGUUCUUGGCUUGAUAAGAGGCUAUCAUAUCUUAACUUUUCUAUCUCUCUCACUCUAGAUUUUCGAAAUGGAUGAGAGAGAGUGGCUUGGCAAUAAUGAGAAGUAAAGUAGGAUUUCUCUCUCCUAAAUCUCUUAUAUAUUGAUGUGUGUAAUGUUAUGGCUGGGAUGGCUGCUGAGAUUUGUAGCAAGUGGCUUAUCUAGGGUGGUUGAACAACUCACUAGACCAACUCUUGUAAGCUAAGUCACAAUAAUGCAACAAAGGGCAAAAAUGUCAUUGUGUCUUUAGUUUUAAGGGCAUUUUGGACAUUAGCCAAACCCUUAGGGUUUAAGGUUUAAUUAGGGUUUAGGGUUUGGAAAAUUU